AGAUACGAAAAUCUAACUUUUUCCCAACCUAUGGCCAAGAAAUAUGAAAAUGACAUUGACAAAUGAACUGCUUUAUGCAUUCUAGGAUUAAAGGACCAGGAUAAAGUAUUUCUGCAUAUGUUAUAGCAUGAACAAGCACAUUGGUUCGUCUUAAAUUCAAGUAAUCUAUAAAAAGGGGUUCGGUAAUAACCUACUGUGAAUCACAUAUUACAAUUAUCAUGUUAGCCAGAACAACAUAUUAUAAGAAUGUAAUUUGUACCUCCUACACACAAUUCACAGUAGUUAUAUUUAUGGAUAUCUUUAAAUACCAGACAAAUCAAAUUCAAUUAAUGGGUGUAAAUCACAUUGCCAAAUCCCUCUAUUACACACACCUUUUAUUGGUGGCUGAUGAAAAAUACAACCACACUACAGCAGAGAGGCAAAAGUAUGACUUUGUGUAGAACAUCUGUCAAGGUUUGGACAGAUAGGAGAAAUCCUUUAGAAAGGGAAGACAAGGAUAAAAAUAUCAGUGAAGAAGCAUGUGGGCUGAGAUAGAGGACUGUGAAGGCUGGUGUUUUGACACUUAUCUGAGUUCCUCCAUGACAACACCUCAACAUGCAAUUCGGAGCUGGUGGCCCACAGUGUGUAGAAAACUCCUUUCUGCAGUUGCACCUUAUGCACGUUUCAUUAGGCUCCUUUAAGCUGUGUGUCAAAAAGAAAAUGGGAGGAAUCUCAGAGACUGUGACAGCAGAAACUCUGAGAGAACAGAUCUUGCCUGGUGUGGAUGAGAGAAGUGUUAUGGGGAGAUUUGCCUGUGAGGUGAAAUCAGUUGAAGAAGUAAGUGAUGGGAGAUGCUGCCAAAACAGUUCACAUACUGUGCAAUGUAUGCUCUGUUUGAGGACUGAGAUCUCAGCUUUUGUGUAAAGAGUUUAUGCUUUAUAGUAGAUGUAACCUUUUCCAUGAAACAGGAAGAGGAAUCCAUGUGUAAGAAUUCAGGUGGGACUAGAAUCCUUAUAUAUGGAUUCCUAGAAUUCUUCAGCAUACUUACACUAGGCCCGGUUGCCUUUUGCCUUGCCCAACCACAACUGUUCCCCCCUCCCCAUUCCCCUGCUAUUCUGCACUCACAUUGCACUUAACGUUGCAGGCCUGAACACACUUACGUCAUUACGAUGCAGCUUUUUGUUUACAAGAAAACAGGAAGAAAAGCGCUCUCACACAGCACAAUGGAGUCCAUCAUUGUAAUGUUAUUUAUUUUAAAACAUACUUUUUCAGCUUAGCUUUUACUUUUUUUUUUUUUUUUUGGCUGUUGGUAUGUAUGCUUAUUUUUAUGAUUUGUAUCUAUACAUUAUUAUGUUUUUUUUUUAGGUAAAGCCCCUUUAGUUUAGCUAGUUUAGUUUAGCCUCACACCGCCAGGGUCGGGGGUUCGAUUCCCACUGUGGCCCUGUGUGUGUGGAGUUUGCAUGUUCUCCCAGUGCUGCGGGGGUUUCCUCCGGGUACUCCGGUUUCCUCCCCCAGUCCAAAGACAUGCAUGGUAGGCUGAUUGGCGUGUCUAAAGUGUCCAUAGUGUAUGAAUGGGUGUGUGAGUGUGUAUGUGAUUGUGCCCUGCAAUGGAUUGGCACCCUGUCCAGGGUGUACCUCGCCUUGUGCCCGAUGCUCCCUGGGAUAGGCUCCAGGUUUCCCCGUGACCCUGAAAAGGAGUAAGCGGUAUAGAAGAUGGACGGAUGGAUGGAUUAUUGUGGCUUAUUUGGAGUCGUUUGGAGCACGAAAACCUUUAGGGAGGCAGCUGACAGUCAUAUCACUGAUGUCAUAUUUCGAGUUUCGUGUUCAGCCAUGGUUAACUAUCACACUAGAUGCAUCCUCUGCCUGAGUCCAACUGAACCAUGCCCGAGCCCACCUCUUCAAGUCAAGCGAACUGGACUUUGGGGGUCAAAUGUGUUUGGGCACAGUACAGAUUGUCUAGUGUUAAUGCAAGGAUUCACAGACAAGGUCAAGGUAAAGUGCAACAAGUGAAAUAAUACACUGUCAGAGUGAAAUUAAUAGUUACGUUAUGAUUUGGUGAAAUGAGCCACAGGUCUUAAAGGUCAAGAACUGGUUAUAUGAUGCUGGAGGUGUCACUCCAAAGGUGCUAGAGCCAGCACCUUAUGACCAGCACCUGGCUAUGGGGGUGUGGUGCUGGAGGAUUGUCAUGGUGAAAGCAGCAGCACAUACACCUUAAAGGUGGGAGGUGGUGUUUCUAGGGUUUCAGGGUCUUGCAAGAUACACUGCAGGCCUGACAAUACAUGCCAAGUUGGUCAUAUGCAAAACUGAGUUAGGUAUUCCAAUAUUGCAGCAUUUAUGCAAUUUAAUUCAUUGAAAGGUCACAUGAAGCAAGGAGUUGAGUUUCACAUUUUUCACAUUGAGUCACCAGACCUAAAUUCUGGUGUGCCCUUAAGAUGACCAUUGACUUGGACCUGCCAUCCACUCAUGGAGCCACCUCUCCUCCAGCAAUUUAAUGAAAAAUGCAAGGGUGUACCCCGCCUUGUGCCCGAUGCUCCCUGAGAUAGGCUCCAGGUUUCCCGUGACCCUGAAGGAAGGAUAAGCGGUAUAGAAGAUGGAUGGAUGGAUGGAUGGAUGGAUGGAUGUUACUCCUUGGCACCUAUCUUCUGCACUACCUAUUAUAUCAGACACUUCCACACUAAAACUGUGUACUGUUUGGCGCUACACUGUCACUUACUGUGCAUAUUGUCCUGUUUUUAGUAGUACUGUACUGUCAUGUUUUGUUAGCACACGUCUGCACGUGCACUUUGUGUAGUAUGUUUGUAGAUAUUAUUUAGUUCUGCGUCAUCUCACGUGGUUAGUGUGUUGUUUUAUGUAGCACCAUGGUCCUAGAGGAAUGUUGUUUUGUUUCACUGUGUACUGUACCAGCUGUAUAUGGUUGAAAUGACAAUAAAACCACUUGAACUUGA